rnacentral:tRNA from 2 species
ACCUGACUGGCUCAGUUGGUAGAGCAUGUGACUCUGGAUCUCGGGGCUGUGAGUUCAAACUCCACGUUGGGUG